rnacentral:rRNA from 1 species
GUAAACACUGUGCCCGGAGCGUGGGGAAUACAGGAGGUGGCAAGAUGAAUCGGAAUUACGGGGGGUAAAGUGGACGUAGGUGGAUGGGUAAGUGGGAUGUGAAAUCCCCGGGCUUAACUUGGGGAUUGCAUGCAAGACUGCCUUGCUAGAGUGUGGAAGAGGGAAGCGGAAUUCCAGGUGUAGCGGUGAAAUGCGUAGAUAUCUGGAGGAACAUCAGUGGCGAAGGCGGCUUCCUGGUCCAACACUGACACUGAGGUGCGAAAGCGUGGGGAGCAAACAGGAUUAGAUACCCGGGUAGUC